rnacentral:lncRNA from 1 species
AAAAAAAGUGGUUAACAGAACACAGGACAGUGAGUGACAUGGCCAGAUGUUGGAAGCCACUGCAAGCGACAGUCUCUGCCAAGCCACAGUAAGACUAUGGGAUGAGUGGUUAAAAUCAAGUGUGUAAAAGAAAUUUUAGUGGCAGUGAGAAGGCUAGAUGGUGCCGUUCACCCUGCUAGAUGCAGAGCCUCCACACUCUCCGACAGAGGCUCAACACGGAAGUGCUUCGCCGGAAGUAGUAACACCGAGGUUGGCAUCGGAACACUCUGCAAGGUGAUCUGGUUGGAAACAGGCAGCAUUGGAGUGGGGCAUCAGGAACUGGUGCUUGCUUAAGAACUGAAAUUUGGUGGAGGAAAUAUCUUCCCCACGUGCAGACCCGAGAAUGUAAGCCGUGCGCCUGGAACAAAAUAUUCUGCCACAGUCAAAAAUCACUAUUUUAAAAAGUGAUGUGCUGUUUGGAAAUAAUACGACAACCCUGAGGAGGUUUGGCAGUUCAGAGCAGUGUGCCUGUGUGGAAGGAAAGAGACUCAACAGCAGCAGUCCCUGUGGUUCCAGAGGCGGUUCCGUCCAGUCACAGGGGACCCACCUAUAAUUCUAGCACUGAAGGAGGGAGCCAGACCGAGGGAGCAGGGCCCAGGCAGGAAGACUUAGGAUUCCAGGCCAGCCUUGGCUACACAGUGAGACCUUGCCUCCAAAACAAACAAAUACAAGAUAACUGUAGCAAGUCCUUGUAAGGGCUAUAAAUUAGUGGUUCCUUUAAAGGCCACUUAAUUGCCACUUAGAAGGGCUUUUUACUGUGUGAGCCAUCUACUUCACAAAACAGAACUCUAUUAAGGUUUCUCAGAACGGCCAGGUCUAUAAGCAGGCAGUUUGUUGAGCAGGUUUGAAAGAGAUUCCUUCCCACCUUCCAUUCACCAGUCCUCCAAAAUUCCAGAUAAGCCUAUUUUUUACUCAGAGGGCAAAGUUGGCCUCUCGGCUUAUGUGCGUUCCCUGCACAAAGGAUAUGUUUUCAGCAAGCAGGACCACAUUCCUACCAAGCAAAAAUAUUCCCCCAUAAGCUGAUUGUCCCAGACCUACCAAGCCUUUCUCAAUGAAGCUCUGUUCUGCUGCCUGCAAAUGUGUGGCCUGUGUUCUCAGACAGUGGCUUGGGACAGGUGCAUGUCUUUGGAGAGGUUGGAGAGGGACCCUGAGCCAGCCUUUGCGACCACAGAGGCACUUCAUCUAAAGCUACUAGCUUUCUCUACAUUGGAAAAGCAAAUUCUCCAACAAGACCUCCUUCAAUAUCCUUCCCCGUAUAAAUUCACCCUUCUGCAAUCUUCUCACUGUCAAAAAUAGUUGAAAAUUCUACUAU